rnacentral:rRNA from 1 species
AUAUUACACACUGGGCGCAGGCCUGAUGCAGCAACCCCGCGGGAGGGAUGACGGCCUUCGGGUUGUAUACCUCUUUUAUUAAUGAAGAAGCGAAAGUGACGGUACGUGCAGAAUAACCACCGGCUAACUACGUGCCAGCGGCCGCGGUAAUACGUACGGUGCAAGCGUUGUCCGGAAUUAUUGGGCGUAAAGGGCUCGUAGGCGGCUUGUGGCGUCUGCUGUGAAAUCCCGGGGCUCAACUCCGGGCCUGCAGUGGGUACGGGCAGGCUAGAGUGCGGUAGGCGAGAUUGGAAUUACUGGUGUAGCGGUGGAAUGCGCAGAUAUCAGGAGGAACACCGAUGGCGAAGGCAGAUCUCUGGGCCGUAACUGACGCUGAGGAGCGAAAGCAUGGGGAGCGAACAG